rnacentral:tRNA from 1 species
AAAAUCCAUUAACAAUUAUUGUUUUAAGGGUUCGAAUCCCUUUAUCUCUA